UACGAGAGGCCCAAACGUUAUUCGGAAUUACUGGGCUUAAAGAGUUCGUAGGCGGCAUAGUAAGUAGGGUGUGAAAGCCCCCGGCUCAACCGGGGAGAGUCGUCGGGGACCGCACCGCUUGAGGGCGGUAGGGGCUGGUGGAAUGCCUGGUGUAGUGGUGAAAUGCGUAGAGAUCAGGCAGAACACCUGGGGCGAAGGCGGCCAGCUGGGCCGUCCCUGACGCUGAGGCGCGAAGGCGUGGGGAGCGAACGGG
rnacentral:rRNA from 1 species